AGCGAACGCUGGCGGCAGGCCUAACACAUGCAAGUCGAACGAACCUUUCGGGGUUAGUGGCGGACGGGUGAGUAACACGUGGGAACGUGCCUUUAGGUUCGGAAUAACUCAGGGAAACUUGUGCUAAUACCGAAUGUGCCCUUCGGGGGAAAGAUUUAUCGCCUUUAGAGCGGCCCGCGUCUGAUUAGCUAGUUGGUUGAGGUAAUGGCUCACCAAGGCGACGAUCAGUAGCUGGUCUGAGAGGAUGAUCAGCCACAUUGGGACUGAGACACGGCCCAAACUCCUACGGGAGGCAGCAGUGGGGGAUCUUGCGCAAUGGGCGAAAGACUGACGCAGCCAUGCCGCGUGAAUGAUGAAGGUCUUAGGAUUGUAAAAUUCUUUCACCGGGGACGAUAAUGACGGUACCCGGAGAAGAAGCCCCGGCUAACUUCGUG
rnacentral:rRNA from 1 species